rfam:Schistosoma rodhaini strain Burundi genome assembly, scaffold: SROB_scaffold0001351
AUCCAGCUGACGAGUCCUAAAUAGGUCUAGACGCGCGUCAAACUGGAC